AGUGAACGCUGGCGGUAGGCCUAACACAUGCAAGUCGAACGGCAGCACAGUAAGAGCUUGCUCUUACGGGUGGCGAGUGGCGGACGGGUGAGGAAUACAUCGGAACCUACUUUUUCGUGGGGGAUAACGUAGGGAAACUUACGCUAAUACCGCAUACGACCUACGGGUGAAAGCAGGGGAUCUUCGGACCUUGCGCGAUUGAAUGAGCCGAUGUCGGAUUAGCUAGUUGGCGGGGUAAAGGCCCACCAAGGCGACGAUCCGUAGCUGGUCUGAGAGGAUGAUCAGCCACACUGGAACUGAGACACGGUCCAGACUCCUACGGGAGGCAGCAGUGGGGAAUAUUGGACAAUGGGCGCAAGCCUGAUCCAGCCAUACCGCGUGGUGGAAGAAGGCCUUCGGGUUGUAAAGCCCUUUUGUUGGGAAAGAAAAGCAGCAGGUUAAUACCCCGCUGUUCUGACGGUACCCAAAGAAUAAGCACCGGCUAACUUCGUU
rnacentral:rRNA from 1 species